UUGGUCUGCUCGGGCUUUCCUCGCACUUCACGCUUUGCUUUCCUCCUCUUUCCCUUCUUUCCCUCCUCGGGACUCUCUCUCUCUCUCUCUCUCUCUCUCGUGUUGCUUCGUCUCCUCGAUCUCAUCUCUUUGAAGGCUCGUCGUCGUUUACUUUCCUCGUUGAAUCUUUCUUGCACGCGGGGUUCUGGAUUUUGAUUCGUUCAAAGUCGUCUUCUUCUGAGGACCUAUGGUUCCUGUGUACCUGAACGGAAACGCGCGAUCGGCCUCUAUAAAGAUCGAGAUGCCAGUGCUUGGUGUCGUCGGCUUCCCGAUCUCUGUCUCCACGCCUUUUUUCAGGAGUUCCCUGCUGAACUGCGGGGUUGAUUUUUACCCCCUUGACCAUAAUUUCCCCUGAUAUUACUACAUACCUCGUGAUCUAGAUAGAUAGAGAGAAGUUCAAUAAUUAAAAAUAUGAGCCGACCACAUGAUGGACUGUGCAUCUUAUUUCACUUUGGAAAUCAUUCUCGGGUUACUGGUCACAAAGGCUCAUCGAAGCUUCUUGCUUUACUGAGUCAUUUCGAGCGAAACCUUGCAGAAAAAAUGAGAAAACUCCACGCAGAAGUAAUCUCAGAUGUCUUUUCUUUAUCUUGGAUAAAACAUGCUGUUAAAUCAUUAUCGGAUGUCCACGCCGACAUUAAAACAUUAAUAAUGGAACUUCAAUUCCCUGUUUCUGACUGGGAUGAGAGAUGGAUUCAAGAAUACUUUGAGAACAGUUUGAAGAUGCUUGACAUUUGCAAUGCAUUAAGUGCUGAGCUUACCCGAUUAGAUCAAGGCCAGCUUUUGCUUCGAUAUGUGCUGCGCAUCCUGGAUAUCUCAUCUAGUUUUCCUUCAUCUGAACAAUUGAGAAGAGCUCAUGUAUCUCUUGAUGAUUGGCUGAAGCAGGCUAACUCUUCGAGUCCUAAACUAGAAAAGUGUCAUGCUAUCUUGCAGAUCGUUCAUGACACCCUUUGUUUGCCAAAGAUAAAAUAUUCUGCCAAAGGGAGGGUGCUAAUGAGAGCCUUUUAUGGAGUUGAGGUCAUGACUCUAUUCACUUGCAAUAUCAUCAUAACAGCACUGACAGGCUGCUCAAAGCCCUUGAUGGACUUGCAUAUUGUUGAUGAGUUCUUAUGGCUCGAGGCAUUCAACAAUUUGCAAGCUUUCUUGAAUGAGGAAAUCAGAGGACAGUUGCUGAGUGGAAAAGUAAUGACGCUAAAAGAAAUAAAAGCACUCAAAAUGAGUGCUCUGAUGUUCCGUUCCUUAACUAACAGAAUUGAUUAUGGGGAAGAACCAGCACAGCUAAGCAUGGAUGUUAAGAAGGAUGAGUCGAACUCACCAAAGGAGUAUGCUGACCCUGAAAAGAGACGAAGGCUGCAAGAAUGCAUGACACAUUUGACCGAUGGAGGAGAGGUGUUUGGCCGUGAGCUAGAUUCUCUGUCAAAACAAGUAAAUGACUUUUUUCACAUUUUACUAACUGGACGUGAUGCCUUACUUUGUAAUCUUAGGGCAUCCGGUAUAUCCAAAGAGCAGUAGCAUUGAAGAGAUGCUCAUGAAGGCAGCCUUGUAUGAUUUGUUGGUCAGGACACAGUCAAACCAUAUGAAGCUUGCCUUGGUUGUUCCUGUGAAGCCUGUUGGGUUUGCAUUGAUCUCAUGCCUCUUCAUCGAGGAACCGAUGCAUGAAUCAGGAGCCUCUCAUGCAGUACAACGUCAAGACUUCUCAUGAAAGGUAUAUGUCAACCUUAUGAAGCUAUCGACUUGUUUGGCUUGGGUGACAUUCUUCAUUUCAGUCAAAGUCUAGAUGGAGCCCUCGAGCAUUACAUGGUCUAAAAACCAUUAUUUUCACGAGGACUAAUAAUGGAUCUUAUCCCCUGUUCUCCAGAAGAGCUUCUGCUGUUCUUUGGUCAGAGAUGGUGGGUUUCACAUUGUGGAAAUGUGGCUUAGAAUAUGACUUGAAAGAUUCUGUAGGCCCUACAAACACUAGUUAGUCUGGCCAUUUCUGUUGGUUGUCUGGUUUGUGCUAUGCAAUCCGGAUUAAUUGUUUGUACGGUGGAUGAGUUCAGUUCAGAUUGGAUUUUAGGUGAUAUAUAAAGAGUUUAAGAUAGCAUUGUCAAAAUAACUAAGAA